rnacentral:lncRNA from 1 species
CCAUAUACAAGUGUUUGGCCAGGAGGACACUACAAAAUACACAAUGAAGGAGUAAGAUGCUUGUGGGACUCACAGAAUCUGGAAAAUGAAGAGGGUAACACUCAAGCUCUGAACCUCAGGUGUUGCCUUGACAACACCACAUGCACUGUUGCCAUCUUUAAAGAUGUGACAUCUCUAAAUAGCAAAGACCCUUGAGGGAGUUCCAAACCAAAUGCAGUCUUCCCUCAAAAAGUCCCAAAUAUUUUGUCUUUGUAUGUAAAACAGAGUCAGAUUCUAGACUCAGAUAAUUAUAAACAGUGUUUUUUUUAACCUGGGGACAUUUGAAAACGACAGGAGAUGACAGAUAAUUUUUCAUUGUGUGUGGCUGUCCUGUACAUUGCAGGAAAACUAGUAUCUCUGCUCUCUCCCAAAUGUCAGCAUUGACUCCCAAACAUUGCAACAUCCAAAAAUAUUGCUAUAAAUUCCUCUGUGGGCACGACCUAGGAAGAAAGAAGGCCCACUAACCACGGCUGGAGCGCUGUGCUAGCAGGAAGGUCUGUGAAGUUUGCAAUAAAGCCAUUAUGAAGUCAAGAAUGGAGGUUCCAUUUUUAAAGAACUCAGAGGGGGUAGAUCUUGAUUGACAUCUCAUCUGGGGUCACCUGGUCUUCAACUGAGAGAUCUUUUGGUUCGCCACGGAUGCCCCUUGCAGUUAUGGAAGCUUCCCUGACCAGAGGUCGUUUUGAGUUUCCUUCUCUGGAAUUUGACCACUGAGCAGAGACACAUAGGAGAGAAGACGUGAAUGCUGAGUCAUCAAUCAGCAUCACUGGGAAGAAAAAGCCUCUCAGUUUCUUCUGCUGGGACUCCCAGAGCUGGAGUAUUUUCUGCUCUUCCUAAGGCCUGAAUCUCACCUUGUCACCCAGGCUGGAGUGCAAUGGCAUAAUCUCAGCUCACUGCAACCUCUGUCUCCCAGGCUCAAAUGAUUCUCCUGCCUCAGCCUCCUGAGUAGCUGGGAUUACAGGCGCCCAUGGACUACCAGCUUUUUAAGUAGACUUUUUAGCCAAAGGCCAAGGGAAACUACCCUCUUCCUACUGGGGUUCAAAUUGAUUAAAAUGGUUUGCUUUGACUUUUGUUGAAGUCUCUUUAUUUUCUUU